rnacentral:rRNA from 1 species
GAACGCUGGCGGCAUGCCUUACACAUGCAAGUCGAACGGCAGCACGGGAGCAAUCCUGGUGGCGAGUGGCGAACGGGUGAGUAAUAUAUCGGAACGUGCCCAGUCGUGGGGGAUAACGUAGCGAAAGCUACGCUAAUACCGCAUACGAUCUAUGGGAUGAAAGCGGGGGAUCGCAAGACCUCGCGCGAUUGGAGCGGCCGAUAUCAGAUUAGCUAGUUGGUAAGGUAACGGCUUACCAAGGCAACGAUGGGUAGGGGUCCUGAGAGGGAGAUCCCCCACACUGGUACUGAGACACGGACCAGACUCCUACGGGAGGCAGCAGUGAGGAAUAUUGGACAAUGGGCGCAAGCCUGAUCCAGCCAUGCCGCGUGCAGGAUGACGGUCCUAUGGAUUGUAAACUGCUUUAUACAGGAAGAAACACUACUUCGUGAAGUAGCUUGACGGUACUGUAAGAAUAAGGAUCGGCUAACUCCGUG